rnacentral:rRNA from 1 species
UACGUAGGGUCCGAGCGUUGUCCGGAAUUAUUGGGCGUAAAGAGCUCGUAGGCGGUCCGUUAAGUCGGAAGUGAAAUCUCAAGGCUCAACCUUGAAAUCGCUUUCGAUACUGGCGGACUUGAGGCAGGUAGGGGAAGGUGGAAUUCCUGGUGUAGCGGUGAAAUGCGCAGAUAUCAAGGAGGAACACCAAUUGCGAAGGCAUCUCGCUGGGACGUAACUGACGCUGAGACGCGAAAGCGUGGGGAGCAAACAGG